rnacentral:rRNA from 1 species
UACGAAGGGGACUAGCGUUGUUCGGAAUCACUGGGCGUAAAGCGCACGUAGGCGGAUUCGUAAGUCAGGGGUGAAAUCCCUGGGCUCAACCCAGGAACUGCGUCCGAUACUGAAAGGCUUGAAUCCGGGAGAGGGAUGCGGAAUUCCAGGUGUAGCGGUGAAAUGCGUAGAUAUCUGGAGGAACACCGGUGGCGAAGGCGGCAUCCUGGACCGGUAUUGACGCUGAGGCGCGAAAGCCAGGGGAGCAAACGGG